rnacentral:rRNA from 1 species
GCAAGUCGAGCGGAAACGAAGAGGUGCUUGCACCUCUGGCGUCGAGCGGCGGACGGGUGAGUAAUGCUUGGGAAUAUGCCUUAUGGUGGGGGACAACAGUUGGAAACGACUGCUAAUACCGCAUGAUGUCUACGGACCAAAGUGGGGGACCUUCGGGCCUCACGCCAUAAGAUUAGCCCAAGUGGGAUUAGCUAGUUGGUGAGGUAAUGGCUCACCAAGGCGACGAUCCCUAGCCGGUUUGAGAGGACGAUCAGCCACACUGGGACUGAGACACGGCCCAGACUCCUACGGGAGGCAGCAGUGGGGAAUAUUGCACAAUGGGCGCAAGCCUGAUGCAGCCAUGCCGCGUGUGUGAAGAAGGCCUUCGGGUUGUAAAGCACUUUCAGUAAGGAGGAAAGGUUAAGUGUUAAUAGCACUUAGCUGUGACGUUACUUACAGAAGAAGCACCGGCUAACUCCGUGCCAGCAGCCGCGGUAAUACGGAGGGUGCGAGCGUUAAUCGGAAUUACUGGGCGUAAAGCGUACGCAGGCGGUUUGUUAAGCGAGAUGUGAAAGCCCCGGGCUCAACCUGGGAACUGCAUUUCGAACUGGCAAACUAAAGUGUGAUA